ACCUCGGGGUAUAUGCCUNUAGUUACGGCGAGUGAAGCGGCAAAAGCUCAAAUUUGAAAUCUGGCACCUUCGGUGUCCGAGUUGUAAUUUGAAGAAGGUAACUUUGGAGUUGGCUCUUGUCUAUGUUCCUUGGAACAGGACGUCACAGAGGGUGAGAAUCCCGUGCGAUGAGAUGCCCAAUUCUAUGUAAAGUGCUUUCGAAGAGUCGAGUUGUUUGGGAAUGCAGCUCUAAGUGGGUGGUAAAUUCCAUCUAAAGCUAAAUAUUGGCGAGAGACCGAUAGCGAACAAGUACAGUGAUGGAAAGAUGAAAAGAACUUUGAAAAGAGAGUGAAAAAGUACGUGAAAUUGUUGAAAGGGAAGGGCUUGAGAUCAGACUUGGUAUUUUGCGAUCCUUUCCUUCUUGGUUGGGUUCCUCGCAGCUUACUGGGCCAGCAUCGGUUUGGAUGGUAGGAUAAUGACUAAGGAAUGUGGCUCUACUUCGGUGGAGUGUUAUAGCCUUGGUUGAUACUGCCUGUCUAGACCGAGGACUGCGUCUUUUGACUAGGAUGUUGGCAUAAUGAUCUUAAGCCACCCGUCUGAACCCCAGGAAACAAAANAAA
rnacentral:rRNA from 1 species